CCAUUGUCAAGGAAAUUAGUUAUAUAAUCAGCAAGUAACGAACUUGAUAACGAUUUACAUGCAGUCACAAGGAAUUCCCAUCUGAAUUGCACAAAGUACAAAGGGUCUUUCUUCUCCCCUGUCCCCUAUCCGUAUACGUGCCAGAGUUUCACAGCAGACAGGUUCUGGCAUGCCGGGGCAUAAGCAUAACUAGCUUAAUAGGCAGAUUAUAUCUGUUAUUGCGAUUGAUAAAGCUUUGAAUGUCGAUUUGCCCAUGACAUGACUACGCUACGGGCCUCGCUCGAGUUGCAUGACAACAGCAGCAGCGCCAAUCGUUGUAUUUAAACGAUCCGAGCAGGCUAGCUGCCCGUACUCCCCGCGGCCAAUUUAGUCCAGGGGCCAAAACGGUGACAUAGUUUCCCCUGCUCUCGAGAAAGCUAAUUUCGAACACAGUUUUUCAGUUAGAGAAGGCUACACCACAGAGGAACCGCCCCUAUUCGCAGCGGCUGCCUUUCCUUGCAUGUCCAACGUGCAUUCGCCCGGAGACUAGAGGAGGCGGACCGACAAGGAUGGCUACAACUGCCAGUUGUCAACCCAUAUCCAUUUUAGGACUGCAACCACUGGGCAGGACUGGCUGCUCCCCAGUCCCCAGUCCCCAUCUCCCAUUUCCCAUUCCACAUUCUACCCCACAUCCAGUCGCCCCAUCUCCGUUUGUUUGGCCUGGCCAAAUAGCAACAAACGACGCCAGCGACGAAGCCUGUUAAGUGUCCCCGGGGUUCCAACUCCGACCCCUCUACCCACUCCACGCUGUAUCCGGAUCUGGGUCCGGGUUUGGGUCUCCGUGUCCGGGUCCGUGUUGCUGCUCUCUGCUUCUGCUGUACACAAAUUUUCAACAUUUUCGCUAAUAUUUCCGUUGCCGUUCAUUUUAAUGUGAGCCAUUUGUUUGUUUUGCUGGUGUGUCCCCAGCGUCGGUCCUAUGCGGGUCACUUGGCUUCCUGUCUGAACCCUCCAGCCACCCCUGCCCUAUUCUCUAACCCCCCCUUGGUUGUGCGGCGCUUAUCGGUACUCUGCGGUUUUGUUUUUGUUGAUUUAGUGGAGCAGCCUGUUGAACUUUUCGCUUCGCUGCGGCGACAGGACACACCCAAUCCCCGAUGGGUGUCCGCGCGGUCCCAUUCAAUUUCCAUGCUCGCAUUCUGUUUGUAUUACCAUUGGGUGGGUCAACAGUGGAACUGGCAGCACUAAUAGUAUUAAUAAUGAAAGAAAGCGCAAGAUUAUUUAAUAUUUUCCCAUUUAAUAAUCUAUAUUUUCAAAGAACGAAAUAUUCAAAUUUGAAAUGAAUCGGCGGGAAAUGUGGCGACUCCUGUGUAUUAAAUUUACUUUUGGCGCCACCUAUAUCUGAAUCGCUUGGUUCGCGAUGGCCAGAGGCUGCCACUUAGUUUAAUUAUGUAUGUCCGGAUCGCAGCCCCUCAGCAACACUGCAAUUACGAGUAGUUCGCUGGUGUGGCAAUACCUGCGACUCCGAUACGAUGGUCUGGCAUCUUCAGCUUCAACUACGCGCGCUCAAAAACACUUCUAAACGAAAAUGAAUAAAGAGUUAAAGUAAAGUAUCAAGCGUAUAUUGGCCAAGCACCUAACCAUACAGUCUAUAGGUGUAUCAGUCAUACACAAAACAUGUCGCAAACGAUUUCUUUUAUCGGCAAUGUAAAACUGCGGAUUUACCUAAGAUAUGUGGCCGUUUAAGAGUAGAUUCCAUAAUAAAUUCAUAUAAAUGCAUGUAAAAAACAAAAUUAUUUAGAUGAAUUUUGUGGACUUUGUUGCGAUUCGAAAACAUCAAAUUAUAUACAUCAAUUUUGUAUAUCUUCUACGUUUCCGAAGGCCAAGGGCGGAAGGAAGGAAUCUGCGAAGGAAUCUGCGGCGGAAGCUGAACGCCGAUCGAAUCGAUACUGCAUCCACGAUCGCCUUCCCUCCAGCCCUAAGGGCGAUACGCCCUCCGGCAACAACCUGCUAUGCAGCGAUCCUCUUCUCUUACCCCGCCAGCAGGUCGCUUCCUCCGGUCUCCGCCGUCGGUACCUCCACCGCGGUGGAUUCCACGUCGUCCUCUCGGGAGGUCCAAGGGAUGACUCCUGGCUGGACUGUGUCAGCUAGACUGUCCUGCAGCGGGCCAUAGGCAUGAUGCCACUGCUAUGUCGCUGAGUCGACAAACUGGUCUUACCCAAGCAUUACCGAGUCGAAUUCGAGACAGACCGAGUCUUAUCCCAGCCAGGCAGAAUCGUAUCACAGCAGGAUAGAAGCGCAACCCUUGCAAGAUCCGAGCCCAACAAGAUAUCGUCAUCCCUCGAUUGGGACAUCGACAACAAGGACUUUGACUACGGCAACCAAAAGAGGAGCUACGCGGGCUAGACUCUAGAUAGAUCUCGUUUUUGUUAGGUUUAAGGAUAUAUAUUAGAUAGUCCAUAUACUUAGAUAGUAGAUAGAAAUGUUUUCUACUUGUUUAUUUAUUUAUCCUAGGCUAAGUUAUGAUGAAUAAAGCUAUUGAAAAAUAA